UAAACUUCCGGAAGGGUGUCAGCUUCAAGCGUACUCUAUGAGGAAUUAAAAAAAGCUAGUAUACAUUUCUGAUUUCAUUCAUCUUUUACAAACGAAAAGAUGUCCAAGUCUUUGAAGAAGAUAGUGGAGGAGAGUCGGGACAAGAACAUCCCGGAGGUGGAGAUGUGCGACAGAGGCAUUUCCAACAUGUUGGACGUCCCAGGACUGUUCACUCUGUCUAACAUCACUCAGCUGGUCCUCAGCCACAACAAGCUCACAGGUAAGAUCCAGUGAGACUCAUAAAGUGUGUU